CCUACGGGUGGCAGCAGUGAGGAAUAUUGGUCAAUGGGCGAGAGCCUGAACCAGCCAAGUCGCGUGAGGGAGUACUGCCCUAUGGGUUGUAAACCUCUUUUGUCGGGGAGCAAAAGCCGGACGUGUCCGGCUGUGAGAGUACCCGAAGAAAAAGCAUCGGCUAACUCCGUGCCAGCAGCCGCGGUAAUACGGAGGAUGCGAGCGUUAUCCGGAUUUAUUGGGUGUAAAGGGUGCGCAGGCGGAUUUUUAAGUCAGCGGUAAAAUCGUGGGGCUCAACCCCAUCCAGCCGUUGAAACUGGGGAUCUAGAGUGUGCGAGAGGUAUGCGGAAUGCGUGGUGUAGCGGUGAAAUGCAUAGAUAUCACGCAGAACCCCGAUUGCGAAGGCAGCAUACCGGUGCACAACUGACGCUCAGGCACGAAAGCGUGGGUAUCGAACAGGAUUAGAUACCCUUGUAGUC
rnacentral:rRNA from 1 species